GGGCCCACAUCCACUGUUUGUAAAUUGCUACAUUGUAGACUCAAGUUGAAAACGCAUGAUUUUGUAAACAGUGUAUGGUUCCCAGAGAGAUCUGCUUUGCCAUGGAUGAAAUCAGAACACCAAACUAGAUGAACUCUUGGUCUGAUCCAACAAGGAAUGAACAGCUGUAGCAGAAAUUCAAAGUCCAUGACCUCAGCUGUUGUUAUGCUGCCGUGUGUGUACAUUUUCUUCUUUAGAAAUGGCCAUAAAGAGAAUUUUACCGUAGCCUGUAGGGUGGUUGUUGUUGUUGCUGCUGCUGUUUCAGAAAUAUCCUGCUAAUAUGAUCUGAUAAGUUUUACAUGGAGGAAAAGGACUGAGAC